CACGUAGGGGGCAAGCGUUGUCCGGAUUUAUUGGGCGUAAAGAGCUCGUAGGUGGUUCGGUAAGUCAGGUGUGAAACCUCCAGGCUCAACCUGGAGACGCCACUUGAUACUGCUGUGACUGGAGUCCGGUAGGGGAGCGUGGAAUUCCUGGUGUAGCGGUGAAAUGCGCAGAUAUCAGGAGGAACACCGGUGGCGAAGGCGGUUCUCUGGGCCUUACCUGACACUGAGGAGCGAAAGCGUGGGGAGCGAACAGG
rnacentral:rRNA from 1 species